rnacentral:piRNA from 1 species
UAUGAAACAGUAUUCAAUUUU